GGAAAGAGAGCGAAGAGGCUAAACGCGGCGGACUGUAAAUCCGCUCCUUCGGGUUCGGGGGUUCGAAUCCCUCUCUUUCCA
rnacentral:tRNA from 7 species